ACGGGGUGCAGCAGGCGCGAAAACUCCGCAAUACACGAAAGUGUGACGGGGUUACCCAAGGUGCUUAAUUUUUAAGCUGUGGUAGGUGUGUAAUGUACCCUACUAGAAAGGAGAGGGCAAGGCUGGUGCCAGCCGCCGCGGUAAAACCAGCUCUUCAAGUGGUCGGGAUAUUUAUUGGGCUUAAAGUGUCCGUAGCUUGUAUGAUAAGUUCCUGGUAAAAUCUAAUAGCUUAACUAUUAGUAUGCUAGGAAUACUGUUGUACUAGAGGGCGGGAGAGGUCUGAGGUACUUCAGGGGUAGGGGUGAAAUCUUAUAAUCCUUGAAGGACCACCAGUGGCGAAGGCGUCAGACUGGAACGCGCCUGACAGUGAGGGACGAAAGCCAGGGGAGCGAACCGGAUUAGAUACCCGGGUAGUCCUGGCCGUAAACGAUGCACACUAGGUGUUGGUAUGGCUAUGAGCCGUAUCAGUGCCGAAGGGAAACCAUUAAGUGUGCCGCCUGGGAAGUACGGUCGCAAGGCUAAAACUUAAAGGAAUUGGCGGGGGAGCACCACAAGGGGUGAAGCCUGCGGUUCAAUUGGACUCAACGCCGGGAAACUUACCAGGGGAGACAGCAGAAUGAAAGUCAGGUUGACGACCUUACUAAACAAGCUGAGAGGAGGUGCAUGGCCGUCGCCAGUUCGUGCCGUGAGGUAUCCUGUUAAGUCAGGCAACGAUCGAGACCCGCGCCCCUAGUUGCUACUGAGG
rnacentral:rRNA from 1 species